GACGAACGCUGGCGGAGGGAGGAACACAUGCAAGUCGAACGGAAAGGCCCUGCUUUUGUGGGGUGCUCGAGUGGCGAACGGGUGAGUAACACGUGAGUAACCUGCCCUUGACUUUGGGAUAACUUCAGGAAACUGGGGCUAAUACCGGAUAGGAGCUCCUGCUGCAUGGUGGGGGUUGGACAGUUUCGGCGGUUGGGGAUGGACUCGCGGCUCUCAGCUUGUUGGUGGGGUAGUGGCUUACCAAGGCUUUGACGGGUAGCCGGCCUGAGAGGGUGACCGGCCACAUUGGGACUGAGAUACGGCCCAGACUCCUACGGGAGGCAGCAGUGGGGAAUAUUGCACAAUGGGCGGAAGCCUGAUGCAGCAACGCCGCGUGCGGGAUGACGGCCUUCGGGUUGUAAACCGCUUUCGCCUGUGACGAAGCGUGAGUGACGGUAAUGGGUAAAGAAGCACCGGCUAACUACGUG
rnacentral:rRNA from 1 species